rnacentral:rRNA from 1 species
ACGGGUGAGUAACACGUGGGUGAUCUGCCCUGCACUUUGGGAUAAGCCUGGGAAACUGGGUCUAAUACCGAAUACACCCUGCUGGUCGCAUGGCCUGGUGGGGGAAAGCUUUUGCGGUGUGGGAUGGGCCCGCGGCCUAUCAGCUUGUUGGUGGGGUGAUGGCCUACCAAGGCGACGACGGGUAGCCGGCCUGAGAGGGUGUCCGGCCACACUGGGACUGAGAUACGGCCCAGACUCCUACGGGAGGCAGCAGUGGGGAAUAUUGCACAAUGGGCGCAAGCCUGAUGCAGCGACGCCGCGUGAGGGAUGACGGCCUUCGGGUUGUAAACCUCUUUCAAUAGGGACGAAGCGCAAGUGACGGUACCUAUAGAAGAAGCACCGGCCAACUACGUGCC